GAUGAACGCUGGCGGCGUGCUUAACACAUGCAAGUCGAACGGGAAACCUUUUAAUGAAGCUUCGGCAGAUUUAGCUGGUUUCUAGUGGCGGACGGGUGAGUAACGCGUGGGUAACCUGCCUUAUACAGGGGGAUAACAGUCAGAAAUGACUGCUAAUACCGCAUAAGCGCACAGGACCGCAUGGUCCGGUGUGAAAAACUCCGGUGGUAUAAGAUGGACCCGCGUUGGAUUAGCUUGUUGGUGGGGUAACGGCUCACCAAGGCGACGAUCCAUAGCCGGCCUGAGAGGGUGAACGGCCACAUUGGGACUGAGACACGGCCCAGACUCCUACGGGAGGCAGCAGUGGGGAAUAUUGCACAAUGGGGGAAACCCUGAUGCAGCGACGCCGCGUGAAGGAAGAAGUAUCUCGGUAUGUAAACUUCUAUCAGCAGGGAAGAUAGUGACGGUGCCUGACUAAGAAGCCCCGGCUAACUACGUG
rnacentral:rRNA from 1 species